UACGUAGGGUCCGAGCGUUGUCCGGAAUUAUUGGGCGUAAAGAGCGUGUAGGCGGCCUUACAGGUCCGUUGUGAAAACUCGAGGCUCAACCUCGAGACGCCGGUGGAAACCGUAAAGCUAGAGUCCGGAAGAGGAGAGUGGAAUUCCUGGUGUAGCGGUGAAAUGCGCAGAUAUCAGGAAGAACACCCGUGGCGAAGGCGGCUCUCUGGGACGGUACUGACGCUGAGACGCGAAAGCGUGGGGAGCGAACAGG
rnacentral:rRNA from 1 species